AACGCUAGCUACAGGCUUAACACAUGCAAGUCGAGGGGCAGCAUAGAAUCAGCUUGCUGAUUUUGAUGGCGACCGGCGCACGGGUGAGUAACGCGUAUCCAAUCUGUCCAUUACUCUGGGAUAGCCUUUCGAAAGAAAGAUUAAUACUGGAUAGUUUUAUAAAUUCGCAUGUUUUUAUAAAUAAAGAUUUAUCGGUAAUGGUUGAGGAUGCGUUCCAUUAGAUAGUAGGUGAGGUAACGGCUCACCUAGUCAGCGAUGGAUAGGGGUUCUGAGAGGAAGGUCCCCCACAUUGGAACUGAGACACGGUCCAAACUCCUACGGGAGGCAGCAGUGAGGAAUAUUGGUCAAUGGACGCAAGUCUGAACCAGCCAAGUAGCGUGAAGGAUGACUGCCCUAUGGGUUGUAAACUUCUUUUAUAAGGGAAUAAAAAAGUCUACGUGUAGACUAUUGUAUGUACCUUAAGAAUAAGGACCGGCUAAUUCCGUGCCAGCAGCCGCGGUAAUACGGAAGGUCCGAGCGUUAUCCGGAUUUAUUGGGUUUAAAGGGAGCGUAGGCGGAAGAUUAAGUCAGCGGUCAAAUGGAGUGGCUCAACCAUUCCCUGCCGUUGAAACUGGUUUUCUUGAGUUCACACAAGGUAGAUGGAAUUCGUGGUGUAGCGGUGAAAUGCUUAGAUAUCACGAAGAACUCCGAUUG
rnacentral:rRNA from 1 species